AAUACCUGAUCCAAAGCAUACCAAAGUGUUAAUAGGAUUAAAACCUACAUUCACCAUUACUCUUCUACUUCAUAUUCCCAAAUAGUUGAAACUCCUACGUUCAAAAAAUCUUAAAUUACAUUUAUCACCCAUUAUCCACUCUUUUCAUCUUCCGUUCCUAUUUAAACCAUCCAAUACCUUAACCAUUACUUAAACUUAAUCA
rnacentral:lncRNA from 1 species